rnacentral:lncRNA from 1 species
AUGAUCACGCGGAGAAAGAGUCCGUUGCCCGAUGCUGAGGCACUGCCACAGAGGACCGCUGCUUUGGGAAGCCACUGUGAUCGUUCCCCAGGCAACGGUGGCUGUUCCUGUGACGCGAGCCCGGGCUCAGCGCUGGCGCUUGUGACAGGCCGCCUGCGCAUGCGCUUUCGUCUGCCCAGCUGGGGAGCCGCGAUGUUGGCGCUGUCCAGCUGCUGCCGCACAGCCACUCUUCGGUUCCGGUCGGGUGGAGGAGGAGAGCGCUUCAGGCCAGGAAGCGGGCACUUUGGGUGUUACCAGAACGUUACCCGGCCCAAUGAGCUGACUGCCACUUUUCGACCUGGGCCACCGACCAAGGGGCCCUGCCUUUAUCUCCAAGCCCAGGGACUCCUGCAUCUCACCACUACUGUCUGGACAUGGAGGGAACAACCACAAAGAGGCAAGCCCAGUGUGCAGCAGAGGUAGUGACACCUGAAACUGGCUUCCCAUGGGGGUCGAUCGUGUGUAGAGGGUGUUUCCAAAGCUUUUUUUGGUGAAAUCAAGCCCAAGGUAGAAGCCCAGGCAUGCCGCUGAGAACCCCCAAGAAAGCCAAGCACAGGAAGAUGACAUCUGCCAUCUGAAGAGGGACUGUGCCAGAGUCCAAGCCUCCUUCAGGGAUUCCUGCCUGAAAGGACAGAAGGAGCCAGCAAAAGGGCAAGAUGCCCCAACCCCCACACCGGUAUCACUACCUGCCACCUGGCAUGCACCCAGCAAACCCCAGUCUCUUUAGCUCCGUGAAAUCCCUGGCACUCAACAGGUUCAGUGUUCAUAACACUUGCAUGACCUACAGCAAAAACACCUCAAUCAAACUCAUAUCAAACAGAUACUCAGACACACACACACACACACACACACACACACACACACACACAUCAGUCCUGAUGAACACUAAUAUGUUUCAUACUUUGUCAAAAAGACCUCAAUCAAUCUGGUAUUUUAAAGACAGUAAGACACAGGAGAUACUCAUAUAUAUUUAAAUAAUUAAUAAGAGGAUCACAAGCUCUUUAUGUUUUUAACUACUGUUUCAAAUUAGUCAUCCUCAACCCCAUCCUUAACCUGCUGCAAAUAUUCUUGAGUUAAAUUCUUCUUCAUUAUAGAAGAUUGUUAUUGUUUUCUUUAUUUUUGUUGUGUCAUUUACACUGUUGUAUUAGACUCAUGCUUGGGGCGUCAUUUUUGCCAUACUGCAAUAGUUGUGCUGCAGUCCGAAUUAUUCAUGUGUAUCUCCUGAACAUGGAACUACUUAGUACUUUACCCUAUAUUUUGGGGAACUUAACUUUCAGCAUAGCUCCCAAGACAUUCUACAUAAACUAAGUCUGAAAUAUUAGCCAAUUUUUUACAACUUUUCUAAAUUUAUUGAAAAAUAUUUUCAUUCUCUACUAUAAAUUUUACUCGAACUUUCUCACUGCUUUUAUGAAAAAACUCAAAAUUUAAGACUUCAUGCCAUCGUUUGAGAAAUGGGUGGGACAGGUUGACAUGAGUGUGGCCAGUGCACUCCAGCGCGGUUUCUCUGUAAUCUGCUUACCUUGUGCUGUCGGUCAGCGUUUGGCUCAGUUUGGGGUUGCGGCGCCCCGCAUUCUUCGUUUUCCUGGUGCUUCAAAAAGCCUCGGCAUAGUGGGGUCUGGCUGCCACCUGCAGGGGUCCUAAUCACCUGUUCAACCCGAGGUUGGGUCACUUUUCGAGAAACUCGACGGGGGCAACACGCCUACAAUCAAUUUCCUCCAGCAGCCCUUGGUCCUGUGGCACAUCUAAGGUUCGAGGGACCCAACCGUUCCAUCCUCAUGACCCCUUCAGGGGCUCCAGUGCUGUCCUUAAACUUAUGUGUUUUUCCUCUACUUAGGAUUCUUGUUAAAAGCCAGAUUGUUAUUCUUGAGUUGGGGUGAGCCUGAAAUUCGGUAUGUCUUGUAGGCACUCAGUGGAUGCCACUGAUUAGGGGUUCUGAUUAACAUUUGGGGGAGCAAGUCUCAGUAUUGUUCUCUUGAACUAAGAAUCGUAGGUGUCGAGUUUGCAUUUAAAAGUCUUUUCAGGAUAUCAUCUUCAUUUUUCUUCCUAGUUACUUUCCUAAAAAAAUUAAAACACACUUAUUGCCAAAAUAAAGGGAAACAGAUUGAUAAUUCAUAAAUUGACUGUGUUUGAAUGACUAAUUUAGUUGACUCUUGGUUACCUAAGGACAGAUUACAAGGUAUGAGUCAGCCAUGGUAUAAAACAACAGUGGGCUUGGCAUCAUAAACAAGUGAACUAUCAGUCAUAUAAGAAAAAAUUAAUAUAUUUGUAGUUUAAUGUCAUUCUGUUUAGAAAUAUUUGGUAUGUAAUUUAGCUUGGGAAUAUUUUUUGAUCUCAGUUGUCCGAGUAAUUUUUGGGAGCAGGGCCUCCUUUUCUGCCACUCUCUAAGGGGCCAUCAUCUGCAUGUGGGAAUUACACAACUACGCACAGAAUGUGCUGUGCUUGGUGGAGGUUUCUAACUUAUUGGCUGCAAAUACUUAUGUACUUAGAUUUCUUUGACAUGCUUAUAUAUGUGCUUUGAAAUAGUAGAUGUAUUCUGAACAAUGGGAUGUGAAUUUUCAAUGAAUUUAGUUUUAAAUGAUCUUUUAUAAGACAUUUUAGUUGGUUUUACACUUUCUAGGUUUUUAGAUGUGUGAGACCUUUUCCUUCUGCUGUUUUCAGUUGCUUAGAAAUUAUUUGUUUAUGUAAACAUGAAUGCACAUGCAUACAUGUGGGCAAAUGAUGUGUGUAGUUAGUCCCAAGUUGAGCAUUUCAGCUGUAGAAGUCAUUUGUGAUGUUAUGAAACCUGAAACUCUGAGUAAAUCAUAAUUAUGGAUAACUAAGAAAUGUUGCUAUAAUUCUUUAAAAUAAUUUUCCAGAAUUCAUUUAUUCCAUCAGAUAUAUGGUGAUUUACAG